GCGCCCGUAGCUCAGUGGAUGAGAGCGACGGAUUGCGGAUCCGUAGGUCGGGGGUUCGAAUCCUCCCGGGCGCACCA
rnacentral:tRNA from 1 species